AGCGAACGUUUGCGGCGGGCUUAACACAUGCAAGUCGAACGAGAAUCCCUUCGGGGAGGAAAGUGGCGCACGGGUGCGUAACACGUGGAUAACCAACCCAUUGGUUGGGACGAACACCGGGAAACUGGUGCUAAUACCAGAUGUGUCGCAGCUGUCUUCAGGCGGUUGCGAGAAAGGCCCGCAAGGGUCGCCAACGGACGGGUCCGCGUCCCAUCAGCUAGUUGGUGAGGUAAUGGCUCACCAAGGCAAAGACGGGUAGCUGGUCUGAGAGGAUGAUCAGCCACACUGGAACUGAGACACGGUCCAGACUCCUACGGGAGGCAGCAGUGGGGAAUAUUGCGCAAUGGGCGAAAGCCUGACGCAGCCACGCCGCGUGAGCGAUGAAGGUCUUCGGAUCGUAAAGCUCUGUGGGGGGAGAAGAAGAAAGCCGGUGAAGAGCCGGCCCUGACGGUAUCCCCUUAGCAAGCACCGGCUAACUCCGUGCCAGCAGGCCGCGGUAAAGU
rnacentral:rRNA from 1 species